CGUGUAAGCGGCGAUUUAAGUCUGGAGUGAAAGUCCUGCUUUUAAGGUGGGAAUUGCUUUGGAUACUGGAUGGCUAGAGUGCAGGAGAGGUUAGUGGAAUUCCCAGUGUAGCGGUGAAAUGCGUAGAGAUUGGGAGGAACACCAGUGGCGAAGGCGACUAACUGGACUGUAACUGACGCUGAGGCGCGAAAGUGUGGGGGAGCAAACA
rnacentral:rRNA from 1 species